UCUUUCAAAAUCAAUCACUAACACACUUUUUUUUUUUUUUAAUUCAACAAAAGCCCCUUUUUUUUUAAAGUUGUCGGCCAUAUCUUUCAAACCUUUGUCUAUAUCAUUAUUCAUUCUACUGAUUCUCUCUUCUAAAAUAAGAAAAACAAACGCUGCACAUCUCUUUCUCUUUCUCACAACACACUCACACACUAUUCAUCAUCUCUCUCUCAUCCUCACACGCUCGCCCCUCCCAUCUGCCCUCUCUUUCCAUCACGUUUCCGGCAGCCUCUUCUCCCUCCAAGAUCUGCCGCCGCCGCCUGCUCUAACCUCGGCGAGAAUCGCCGGCUCCGACGCCUCCCUCACUCAUCGCCUCCUCCUUCUCGCCUCAACCUCUAUCUCUCUCGCUCUCUCGGCCGCUGGACCCAGGCGCAGCAGCCACCACCACCGCGGUGUGCCGCCAUCGCCGGGCCGCCGCCUGCUCCCUCAUCCUCGCGGCAGAUCCGCCGCCGUUGGCUUGCCCGGAGUCGCCGCUGGCUGGCCUGCUUCGCCGGAGUCGCGGCCUGGAGUUGCUGCAGGCUCGUCCGGUGGUCAGUGGCUCGCUGGAGGAGCGCCGCCGCCGACCGCUGCUGUUGGCAGCAAGAGCCCGGCAGCCGCCUCUCCCGGAGCCGCCGUCGCCGUGAGUCGCAGAGCUCCGACAAUCCACCAUCCUUUCUCUCUCGUUUUAU
rnacentral:lncRNA from 1 species